rnacentral:snRNA from 1 species
AUACAUACCUGACAGGUGAGAUACAAUGAUCAUGAAAGUUAUUUUCCUGAAACGAGGUUCAUCAAUUGCACUCCAGAUGUGCAGAUUCCCAAAUGUGGAAAAUUAAGAUUGCAUCC